rnacentral:rRNA from 1 species
AUUGAACGCUGGCGGCAUGCCUUACACAUGCAAGUCGAACGGUAACAGGUCUUCGGAUGCUGACGAGUGGCGAACGGGUGAGUAAUACAUCGGAACGUGCCUAGUAGCGGGGGAUAACUACUCGAAAGAGUGGCUAAUACCGCAUGAGAUCUACGGAUGAACGCAGGGGAUCGAAAGACCUUGUGCUACUAGAGCGGGCGAUGGCAGAUUAGGUAGUUGGUGGGAUAAAAGCUUACCAAGCCGACGAUCUGUUGCUGGUCUGAGAGGACGAUCAGCCACACUGGGACUGAGACACGGCCCAGACUCCUACGGGAGGCAGCAGUGGGGAAUUUUGGACAAUGGGCGAAAGCCUGAUCCAGCAAUGCCGCGUGCAGGAUGAAGGCCUUCGGGUUGUAAACUGCUUUUGUACGGAACGAAAAGCCCUGGGUUAAUACCCUGGGGUCAUGACGGUACCGUAAGAAUAAGCACCGGCUAACUACGUGCCAGCCGCCGCAGUAAGAC